rnacentral:tRNA from 1 species
AGAAGCCAUGGCUCAGUGGCAGAGCAUCUGCUGGGCGUGCAGAAGAUUCCAGGUCCAAUCCUUGGCCUCUCUA